rnacentral:rRNA from 1 species
UAGGGAAUCUUGGACAAUGGGCGCAAGCCUGAUCCAGCCAUGCCGCGUGGGUGAAGAAGGCCUUCGGGUUGUAAAGCCCUUUUGUUCGGGAAGAAAUCGUAGCGGCGAAUAUCCGCUGUGGAUGACGGUACCGAAAGAAUAAGCACCGGCUAACUUCGUGCCAGCAGCCGCGGUAAUACGAAGGGUGCAAGCGUUACUCGGAAUUACUGGGCGUAAAGCGUGCGUAGGCGGUGAUUUAAGUCUGUUGUGAAAGCCCUGGGCUCAACCUGGGAAUGGCAGUGGAUACUGAAUCGCUAGAGUGCGGUAGAGGGUGGCGGAAUUCCCGGUGUAGCGGUGAAAUGCGUAGAGAUCGGGAGGAACAUCCGUGGCGAAGGCGGCCACCUGGACCAGCACUGACGCUGAGGCACGAAAGCGUGGGGAGCAAACAGGAUUAGAUACCCUGGUAGUCCACGCCCUAAACGAUGCGAACUGGAUGUUGGGAGCAACUUGGCUCUCAGUGUCGAAGCUAACGCGUUAAGUUCGCCGCCUGGGGAGUACGGUCGCAAGACUG